rnacentral:rRNA from 1 species
AUUGAACGCUGGCGGCAGGCCUAACACAUGCAAGUCGAGCGGAUGAGUGGAGCUUGCUCCAUGAUUCAGCGGCGGACGGGUGAGUAAUGCCUAGGAAUCUGCCUGGUAGUGGGGGACAACGUUUCGAAAGGAACGCUAAUACCGCAUACGUCCUACGGGAGAAAGUGGGGGAUCUUCGGACCUCACGCUAUCAGAUGAGCCUAGGUCGGAUUAGCUAGUUGGUGAGGUAAAGGCUCACCAAGGCGACGAUCCGUAACUGGUCUGAGAGGAUGAUCAGUCACACUGGAACUGAGACACGGUCCAGACUCCUACGGGAGGCAGCAGUGGGGAAUAUUGGACAAUGGGCGAAAGCCUGAUCCAGCCAUGCCGCGUGUGUGAAGAAGGUCUUCGGAUUGUAAAGCACUUUAAGUUGGGAGGAAGGGCAGUAAGUUAAUACCUUGCUGUUUUGACGUUACCAACAGAAUAAGCACCGGCUAACUUCGUGC